rnacentral:rRNA from 1 species
UACAGGGGGUGCAAACGUUGCUCGGAAUUAUUGGGCGUAAAGCGCGCGUAGGCGGCCGCUUAAGUCGGAUGUGAAAGCCCCUGGCUCAACUGGGGAAGUGCACCCGAAACUGAGUGGCUUGAGUACUAAAGAGGGUCGCGGAAUUCCAGGUGUAGCGGUGAAAUGCGUAGAUAUCUGGAGGAACACCGGUGGCGAAGGCGGCAUCCUGGACCAACACUGACACUGAGGAGCGAAAGCCAGGGGAGCAAAGCGGG